AAAAAGAAAACUUAAAAAGAACGAAAAAUAAUAAUUAUGGGGAGAUAUUAAAGCGGGCAUUUGUUUUAAAAGCAAAAACUUUUUUAAAAAUUGGAUUCAAGCAAAUUCUUCCAAUAUGGCUCUUGCCAAAUAUCAUCAUUCCAAAUUGACUGUGGAACAAGAGAGUUAAGUUGAAUGAGAAUGUGAAAAUCUUGAAUAGCUUGAGCAAGUCGUUCAUCCUCCCCAUCUUCUUCGUUCGUAGAUAGUAUAUAAUCGUUAAAAGACUUGUCGCCUUUUAAAUCAUCGUUACACUUGAUAAAAUCGUCAUAAACAACUUUCCAUGCAUCAAAAUCUUUAAAAGCUUUAAAGAAAACCUUGUUGCUCAGCAUGGAAGGGAGAGCAACGCUAAUCCAUUUAGCAUAAUCAAUUCCAUUCGACCAGCUAUGCCUCCACAGAUAUACAAAUAUGUCCAUAAGACCAGAGGCUUGUGCAUAUUGGCUGUCAUCUUCGGUCAACCACAAACACAAGGUAGCCACAGCACUGAUUACAGUUACAUGUGAUGCUAAAUUGUCACGGUUUUUAUUGUUAUCCCAUGCAUCACGAAGAAAAUCCAUCGUAUCGCUAAACAACUCAGUAAGCGAUCGCUGAAGUUGGAAAAAUUUAUCAGGCUCAAUUCUUUGGGCAAGAACGUCACAAUUUUCACAUAGAUAUCGAAUGAGGAGUCCAAGAACUUCAUAGCAUUCACAAACCGUGUACGACACAGUUCCAUGCUUUCCUUUCUGACCAACUGCCUUAACUAGCAUUCCCAGACUUCCUCGAAUCUCAGCAGAGCAGCGACCAAUCACCAAAAUCAUAAACCCAUCAUUUGGCAUAAUAGAGGCGGGACCAGCAGCUUUAAGAAGGUUAGAAAGAAUAACGGUAGCUGAAGAAAGAUUUUUAUCGGUGAUAAAGCGUUCAACAACCGCAUCCAUCAAAGGCUGGAGAUUAGCACGAAUGGCCUCGGAAUACCAUGAUUGAACCGGGAAUCGCGAAAACAAAUCGCUAAAAAACGAGAAAGUACAGUCCAACUUCCAUCCGCGUCGUUUGUCGAUACCUUGGAAAAUGGGACGCAUAUACGUCUGUACGUUGUCGAGGGCGUAUAGUGCGUUUGAAAGGAUUUCAAAUGCUUGUUCAAAUGGAAAUUCGUUGAUAAUAAAUGAUGUAUAGUAAAGGAGAUACUUAGCUGAUUUUGGGUUGGAAGACAAAGUACAUAUAACCGGGAUACAAAGAUCAUAAUGUUUCAAACAACACUGUAGUAAAGU